UUCAGACUACAAACCACGAGUCUCGUAUUUUAAACUGAAGACAGAAGACAGAUGCACGCAGAACAACACCCUUCUGCACUUCGUUUCGACUGCCAAACACUGACCAUUGGACAAAACUGCCUUUCAUCUAAACUAAAGACCUCCAGACGUGGACAAAAUCACUGGAAUCAACAGCCUAGCUGCUCAAGUCAAGGGACACCAGACAUUCCCAUGCCACAGACACCGGUCAGAAGCAAAGAGACCAGCUAUGCCAAGAUGUGACCAGCACCCAGCCUUCUCUCAGGUCCCCCCCAAAGACAAUGCCCACAAUCAGCAGGAAGCAGUCUUGAGAAUUCGCCGCCCCAAUUUUUUCAAACUAUGGUGUCUAAUUUGCUUUUUAUUAUAAGCAAGAUGUGGGAAUGUUGUUCCUUUCGUCCACGCCACUCCCAGCGACCUCUGACCACUCGCCUCAUCUGAAGAUUCC